rnacentral:tRNA from 1 species
GAGAGAGGCUCGUAGCAACGAAGACUGCUAAUCUUCGCCACCUUGGUUAGACUCCUGGGUUCACUCG